rnacentral:rRNA from 1 species
CUGAAUCAGUGUGUGUGUUAGUGGAAGCGUCUGGAAAGGCGCGCGAUACAGGGUGACAGCCCCGUACACAAAAAUGCACACAUUGUGAGCUCGAUGAGUAGGGCGGGACACGUGGUAUCCUGUCUGAAUAUGGGGGGACCAUCCUCCAAGGCUAAAUACUCCUGACUGACCGAUAGUGAACCAGUACCGUGAGGGAAAGGCGAAAAGAACCCCGGCGAGGGGAGUGAAAAAGAACCUGAAACCGUGUACGUACAAGCAGUGGGAGCCUCUUAAUGGGGUGACUGCGUACCUUUUGUAUAAUGGGUCAGCGACUUAUAUUCUGUAGCAAGGUUAACCGAAUAGGGGAGCCGAAGGGAAACCGAGUCUUAACUGGGCGUUAAGUUGCAGGGUAUAGACCCGAAACCCGGUGAUCUAGCCAUGGGCAGGUUGAAGGUUGGGUAACACUAACUGGAGGACCGAACCGACUAAUGUUGAAAAAUUAGCGGAUGACUUGUGGCUGGGGGUGAAAGGCCAAUCAAACCGGGAGAUAGCUGGUUCUCCCCGAAAGCUAUUUAGGUAGCGCCUCGUGAAUUCAUCUCCGGGGGUAGAGCACUGUUUCGGCAAGGGGGUCAUCCCGACUUACCAACCCGAUGCAAACUGCGAAUACCGGAGAAUGUUAUCACGGGAGACACACGGCGGGUGCUAACGUCCGUCGUGAAGAGGGAAACAACCCAGACCGCCAGCUAAGGUCCCAAAGUCAUGGUUAAGUGGGAAACGAUGUGGGAAGGCCCAGACAGCCAGGAUGUUGGCUUAGAAGCAGCCAUCAUUUAAAGAAAGCGUAAUAGCUCACUGGUCGAGUCGGCCUGCGCGGAAGAUGUAACGGGGCUAAACCAUGCACCGAAGCUGCGGCAGCGACACUAUGUGUUGUUGGGUAGGGGAGCGUUCUGUAAGCCUGCGAAGGUGUACUGUGAGGUAUGCUGGAGGUAUCAGAAGUGCGAAUGCUGACAUAAGUAACGAUAAAGCGGGUGAAAAGCCCGCUCGCCGGAAGACCAAGGGUUCCUGUCCAACGUUAAUCGGGGCAGGGUGAGUCGACCCCUAAGGCGAGGCCGAAAGGCGUAGUCGAUGGGAAACAGGUUAAUAUUCCUGUACUUGGUGUUACUGCGAAGGGGGGACGGAGAAGGCUAUGUUGGCCGGGCGACGGUUGUCCCGGUUUAAGCGUGUAGGCUGAUUUUCCAGGCAAAUCCGGAAAAUCAAGGCUGAGGCGUGAUGACGAGGCACUACGGUGCUGAAGC